UACGUAGGGUGCGAGCGUUAAUCGGAAUUACUGGGCGUAAAGCGUGCGCAGGCGGUUAUGUAAGACAGAUGUGAAAUCCCCCGGGGCUCAACCUGGGAACUGCAUUUGUGACUGCAUAGCUAGAGUACGGUAGAGGGGGAUGGAAUUCCGCGUGUAGCAGUGAAAUGCGUAGAUAUGCGGAGGAACACCGAUGGCGAAGGCAGCCCCCUGGGUUAACACUGACGCUCAGGCACGAAAGCGUGGGGGAGCAAACAGG
rnacentral:rRNA from 1 species